rfam:Azoarcus sp. BH72, complete genome
GGGUCUGUAGCUCAGCUGGUUAGAGCACCGUCUUGAUAAGGCGGGGGUCGUUGGUUCGAACCCAACCAGACCCA